AUGAACGCUGGCGGCGUGCCUAAUACAUGCAAGUCGAGCGAACAGACGAGGAGCUUGCUCCUCUGACGUUAGCGGCGGACGGGUGAGUAACACGUGGAUAACCUACCUAUAAGACUGGGAUAACUUCGGGAGACCGGAGCUAAUACCGGAUAAUAUAUUGAACCGCAUGGUUCAAUAGUGAAAGACGGUUUUGCUGUCACUUAUAGAUGGAUCCGCGCCGCAUUAGCUAGUUGGUAAGGUAACGGCUUACCAAGGCAACGAUGCGUAGCCGACCUGAGAGGGUGAUCGGCCACACUGGAACUGAGACACGGUCCAGACUCCUACGGGAGGCAGCAGUAGGGAAUCUUCCGCAAUGGGCGAAAGCCUGACGGAGCAACGCCGCGUGAGUGAUGAAGGUCUUCGGAUCGUAAAACUCUGUUAUUAGGGAAGAACAAAUGUGUAAGUAACUAUGCACGUCUUGACGGUACCUAAUCAGAAAGACACGGCUAACUACGUG
rnacentral:rRNA from 1 species